rnacentral:lncRNA from 10 species
GCAAAGCCUAAACUAGCUCAAGACAAGAGAGGAAGCCAAUUGAUUCUCAGAGCAACUACUGAGUAUCUGCCCCAGGAACAAUCAAGCCUCAUGGUCAAUGAGCUGUCAUGGAAACAGAAAACUGACAAUAGAGUGUGGUAAAAGAGCAGCCACCUCUCCCAAGAAGAAUGGGGGAAAGCAAUUGACACUGAAGGCAAUGGACGUUUUAAGGUGUGUCUCUCUUCACUAGACUGUGAAUUCCUAGGCUGAAGGAGCUGCAUCAUGCACAGGACACAGGAGAUAUGCAAUAUAUUAAAGAAUGAAUGAAAUGCCCCGUUCUCUGGAAGCUAUCCUGGAAUCAAGAUUGCAGGAAUUUAAGAAUAAGAAGAAGAAAAAUAAAAAGUACUCACAAUCCCAUGGUCAAGAAACAUCCAUUUUAACAUUUUGGCACAUUUCCUUUCUACCUUUUUCCAUGAGAAUUCACACUUUUAAAAUUAAUCUUUGGAUCAAGCCAUUCAUACUGUUAUAUUUCCU